rnacentral:tRNA from 1 species
GGGAAGAUGGCUCAGUGGUAGAGUGCUUGUCUUGCAUGCAUGAGGCCCUGGGUUCGAUUCCUCAGUACCA